rnacentral:rRNA from 1 species
AUUGAACGCUGGCGGCAGGCCUAACACAUGCAAGUCGAGCGAGCGGCGGACGGGUGAGUAAUGUCUGGGAAACUGCCCGAUGGAGGGGGAUAACUAAUGGAAACGGUAGCUAAUACCGCAUACCAUCGGAUGUGCCCAGAUGGGAUUAGCUUGUAGGUGAGGUAACGGCUCACCUAGGCGACGUUCCCUAGCUGGUCUGAGGGGAUGACCAGCCCCACUGGACAUGAGCCACGGUCCAGACUCCUACGGGAGGCAGCAGUGGGUAAUAUUGCCCAAUGGGCGCAAGCCUGAUGCAGCCCUGCCGCGUGUAUGAAGAAGGCCUUCGGGUUUUAAAGUACUUUCAGCGGGGAGGCGUUACCCGCAGAAGAAGCACCGGCUAACUCCGUGCCAGCAGCCGCGGUAAUAC